rnacentral:lncRNA from 1 species
CUUACCCAAAGAGUGUUGAAACUUGAAUUGAUUUUAUAUUUCCUUUCUAGAUUAUUAAAAACUCCAAUUUGUGUCUGUGUAACUCAACGUGGGAACCUGGAACCAUGUUUACUCUUCUGAUGACCCUGAAAGAGGAGAAGUUCACCAGAUGGAUUGGCCAGAUGGGUCCUGGAUCCAUUGGGA